CGGGCACCACGAAUUCCAAACGAAGAUCUAGCCAAGACGGGGAAGGAGAUUCCAUAACGUGUUCCAGGAUCCCCUGUAAGAACUAAAGGAACUAAUAAAAUUAUAUUGGCAGGUACAACUGUGGCUAUCCCUUGCCACCAAGCCAUGCCAAGAUCAACAAGACUGCCUGCCAAGUAAUAAGAUGGCACCCCCACAACAAGACCAAUCCAUAGACUGGCCAUUUCCCACCAAGAAAAGGUCCUUUGAUUUGGUGGAACUGGCUUGAGAUCAUCAUUGGUAAGGGUUGAUACAGGUUCAAAUUCAUCUACUUUUGGAUUAAUUCUGGGUUGGUUUGAUGCCAUUCUCCUGUGGAGAAACUGGUUUUGCCCAUAUGGGAAAUCUAGUUUGGUCGUAAUGGUAACUGGGGAUGGAGAGUAGUGGCUUGGGAGUUUUGAAAUUUUGGGUAUUGCGGAGAUGAGAGAAGAGUGGGGUUGCGGUUGGGGAUGGAGAUAGAGGUUAAGGAAUUUGGACACCAUGGUGAUGGAGUUUUCAGUAAAA
rnacentral:misc_RNA from 1 species